GACGAACGCUGGCGGCGUGCUUAACACAUGCAAGUCGAGCGGAAAGGCCACUUCGGUGGUACUCGAGCGGCGGACGGGUGAGUAACACGUGAGUAAUCUGCCCCUCACUUUGGGAUAGCCACCGGAAACGGUGAUUAAUACCGGAUAUGACCAUAUGUCGCAUGGCGUGUGGUGGAAAGUUUUUCGGUGAGGGAUGUGCUCGCGGCCUAUCAGCUUGAUGGUGAGGUAAUGGCUCACCAUGGCUUCGACGGGUAGCCGGCCUGAGAGGGUGACCGGUCACACUGGGACUGAGACACGGCCCAGACUCCUACGGGAGGCAGCAGUGGGGAAUAUUGGACAAUGGGCGGAAGCCUGAUCCAGCAACGCCGCGUGAGGGAUGACGGCCUUCGGGUUGUAAACCUCUUUCAGUACCGACGAAGCGCAAGUGACGGUAGGUACAGAAGAAGCACCGGCCAACUACGUG
rnacentral:rRNA from 1 species